rnacentral:rRNA from 1 species
CCUGCUUUUGUGGGGUGCUCGAGUGGCGAACGGGUGAGUAACACGUGAGUAACCUGCCCUUGACUUUGGGAUAACUUCAGGAAACUGGGGCUAAUACCGGAUAGGAGCUCCUGCUGCAUGGUGGGGGUUGGAAAGUUUCGGCGGUUGGGGAUGGACUCGCGGCUUAUCAGCUUGUUGGUGGGGUAGUGGCUUACCAAGGCUUUGACGGGUAGCCGGCCUGAGAGGGUGACCGGCCACAUUGGGACUGAGAUACGGCCCAGACUCCUACGGGAGGCAGCAGUGGGGAAUAUUGCACAAUGGGCGGAAGCCUGAUGCAGCAACGCCGCGUGCGGGAUGACGGCCUUCGGGUUGUAAACCGCUUUCGCCUGUGACGAAGCGUGAGUGACGGUAAUGGGUAAAGAAGCACCGGCUAACUACGUGCCAGCAGCCGCGGUGAUACGUAGGUGCGAGCGUUGUCCGGAUUUAUUGGGCGUAAA